GCUGUCGUAGCUCAGUUGGACAGAGCGCUUCCCUGUCAAGGAAGAGGUCGCGGGUUCGAUCCCCGCCGAUGGCG
rnacentral:tRNA from 1 species